rnacentral:rRNA from 1 species
AGAGUUUGAUCAUGGCUCAGGAUGAACGCUGGCGGCGUGCCUAACACAUGCAAGUCGAGCGAUCUUCUUCGGAAGAGAGCGGCGGACGGGUGAGUAACGCGUGGGUAACCUGCCUCAUACACAUGGAUAACAUACCGAAAGGUAUGCUAAUACAAGAUGAUAUAAGAGAUUCGCAUGGAUUUCUUAUCAAAGCUCCGGCGGUAUGAGAUGGACCCGCGUCUGAUUAGCUAGUUGGUAAGGUAACGGCUUACCAAGGCGACGAUCAGUAGCCGACCUGAGAGGGUGAUCGGCCACAUUGGAACUGAGACACGGUCCAAACUCCUACGGGAGGCAGCAGUGGGGAAUAUUGCACAAUGGGCGAAAGCCUGAUGCAGCAACGCCGCGUGAGCGAUGAAGGCCUUCGGGUCGUAAAGCUCUGUCCUCAAGGAAGAUAAUGACGGUACUUGAGGAGGAAGCCCCGGCUAACUACGUGCCAGCAGCCGCGGUAAUACGUAGGGGGCUAGCGUUAUCCGGAUUUACUGGGCGUAAAGGGUGCGUAGGUGGUUUCUUAAGUCAGGAGUGAAAGGCUACGGCUCAACCGUAGUAAGCUCUUGAAACUGGGAAACUUGAGUGCAGGAGAGGAAAGUGGAAUUCCUAGUGUAGCGGUGAAAUGCGUAGAUAUUAGGAGGAACACCAGUAGCGAAGGCGGCUUUCUGGACUGUAACUGACACUGAGGCACGAAAGCGUGGGGAGCAAACAGGAUUAGAUACCCUGGUAGUCCACGCCGUAAACGAUGAGUACUAGGUGUCGGGGGUUACCCCCCUCGGUGCCGCAGCUAACGCAUUAAGUACUCCGCCUGGGGAGUACGCUCGCAAGAGUGAAACUCAAAGGAAUUGACGG